UGCCAGCCGCCGCGGUAAUACGGAAGGUCCUAGCGUUGUUCGGAAUUACUGGGCGUAAAGCGCAUGUAGGCGGAACAGAAAGUUAGAAGUGAAAUCCCUGGGCUCAACCUAGGAAUUGCUUUUAAAACUUCUGUUCUGGAAUUCAGGAGAGGAAAAUGGAAUUUCCAGUGUAGAGGUGAAAUUCGUAGAUAUUGGAAGGAACACCAGUGGCGAAGGCGAUUUUCUGGACUGAUACUGACACUCAUAGGCGACAGCUAGGGGAGCAAAAGGGAUUAGAUA
rnacentral:rRNA from 1 species